rnacentral:rRNA from 1 species
GAAGGAUCAUUACCGAGUGCGGGCCCUCUGGGUCCAACCUCCCAUCCGUGUCUAUCUGUACCCUGUUGCUUCGGCGUGGCCACGGCCCGCCGGAGACUAACAUUUGAACGCUGUCUGAAGUUUGCAGUCUGAGUUUUUAGUUAAACAAUCGUUAAAACUUUCAACAACGGAUCUCUUGGUUCCGGCAUCGAUGAAGAACGCAGCGAAAUGCGAUAAUUAAUGUGAAUUGCAGAAUUCAGUGAAUCAUCGAGUCUUUGAACGCACAUUGCGCCCCCUGGUAUUCCGGGGGGCAUGCCUGUCCGAGCGUCAUUGCUGCCCUCAAGCACGGCUUGUGUGUUGGGCUUCCGUCCCUGGCAACGGGGACGGGCCCAAAAGGCAGUGGCGGCACCAUGUCUGGUCCUCGAGCGUAUGGGGCUUUGUCACCCGCUCCCGUAGGUCCAGCUGGCAGCUAGCCUCGCAACCAAUCUUUUUAACCAGGUUGACCUCGGAUCAGGUAGGGAUACCCGCUGAACUUA